rnacentral:rRNA from 1 species
AUUGAACGCUGGCGGAAUGCUUUACACAUGCAAGUCGAGCGGCAGCGCGGGGCAACCUGGCGGCGAGCGGCGAACGGGUGAGUAAUGCAUCGGAACAUGUCCAUGUCGUGGGGGAUAGCCCGGCGAAAGCCGGAUUAAUACCGCAUACGCUCGAGAGAGGAAAGCCGGGGACCGCAAGGCCUGGCGCGAUUGGGUUGGCCGAUGUCCGAUUAGCUAGUUGGUGAGGUAAAGGCUUACCAAGGCGAUGAUCGGUAGCUGGUCUGAGAGGAUGAUCAGCCACACUGGGACUGAGACACGGCCCAGACUCCUACGGGAGGCAGCAGUGGGGAAUUUUGGACAAUGGGGGCAACCCUGAUCCAGCCAUUCCGCGUGAGUGAAGAAGGCCUUCGGGUUGUAAAGCUCUUUUGUCCGGAGCGAAACGGGCGCGGCUAAUACCUGCGUCUACUGACGGUACCGGAAGAAUAAGCACCGGCUAACUACGUGCCAGCAGCCGCAGUAAGAC